rnacentral:rRNA from 1 species
UAGUGAGUUUGAUCCUGGCUCAGGACGAACGCUGGCGGCGUGCCUAAUACAUGCAAGUCGAGCGCAGGAAGCUCACGGAACUCUUACGGAGGGAAGUGAAGGGAAUGAGCGGCGGACGGGUGAGUAACACGUAAGGAACCUGCCCCAAGGAUUGGGGAUAACUCCGAGAAAUCGGAGCUAAUACCGAAUAGUUCUUCAGACCGCAUGGUCUGAUGAUGAAGCGCUUCGGCGUCACUUGGGAUGGCCUUGCGGUGCAUUAGCGUAGGUUGGUGGGGUAACUGGCCCACCGAAGGCGACGAUGCAUACGCCGACUGGAGA